rnacentral:rRNA from 1 species
UACGGAGGGUGCAAGCGUUAUCCGGAUUUACUGGGUUUAAAGGGUGUGUAGGCGGCCUUUUAAGUCAGCGGUGAAAUCUCCGGGCUCAACCCGGAAACUGCCAUUGAUACUAUUAGUCUUGAAUGUUGUUGAGGUGGGCGGAACGGGUCAUGUAGCGGUGAAAUGCAUAGAUAUGACCCGGAACACCGAUUGCGAAGGCAGCCCACUAAGCAACUAUUGACGCUGAGGCACGAAAGCGUGGGGAUCAAACAGG